rnacentral:rRNA from 1 species
UACGUAGGGUGCGAGCGUUGCCCGGAUUUAUUGGGCGUAAAGGGCGCGCAGGCGGCUCGGCACGUCCGUUGUGAAAUCGCCCGGCUCAACUGGGCGGGGUCAGCGGAUACGACCGCCCUGGAGGGGCGUAGGGGGACCUGGAACUUCCGGUGGAGCGGUGAAAUGCGUUGAGAUCGGAAGGAACGCCCGUGGCGAAAGCGAGGUCCUGGACGCCUACUGACGCUGAGACGCGAAAGCCAGGGGAGCGAACGGG